UACGGGGGGGGGCAAGCGUUGUUCGGAAUUACUGGGCGUAAAGGGCGCGUAGGCGGCCUGCUAAGUCGAACGUGAAAUCCCUGGGCUCAACCCAGAAACUGCGUCCGAUACUGGUUGGCUUGAAUCCGGGAGAGGGAUGUGGAAUUCCAGGUGUAGCGGUGAAAUGCGUAGAUAUCUGGAGGAACACCGGUGGCGAAGGCGGCCAUCUGGACGGAUACUGACGCUGAGACGCGAAAGCGUGGGUAGCAAACAGG
rnacentral:rRNA from 1 species